AUUUUUAAAAGGAUGGUGUAAUUAAAGUACUGUCUGAAAUGCUAGAAAAAUGCUUUUUGACUUAUAUUUAUAAUUCAGAGGUUUUACAGUUACUUUAAUAACAAAUAUCACUUUACGAAACAUCUACCUAAUGUAGACCGAGGGAAUACAUUUUGAGACAUGCCCUAAAAUGCGUUUUUACUGAUG